rnacentral:rRNA from 1 species
AUACGGAGGCUGCAAGCGUUACUCGGAAUCACUGGGCGUAAAGCGCGCGCAGGCGGGCUGAUAAGUUGGAUGUGAAAGCCUACGGCUCAACCGUAGAACUGCAUCCAAAACUGUCAGUCUAGAGUCUGGGAGGGGAAGAUGGAAUUAGUUGUGUAGGGGUAAAAUCCGUAGAGAUAACUAGGAAUACCAAAAGCGAAGGCGAUCUUCUGGAACAGUACUGACGCUGAGGCGCGAAAGCGUGGGGAGCAAACAGGAUUAGAUACCCUAGUAGUCC